AGGAGGACGAGGAGGAGGAGGAGGAGGAGGAAGAAUAAGAGGAGACGUGAGGAGUGGAGGAAGAUUCAGUACUGGAGGUAAUCUUGUGGAGGUAAUUUCUUCCCUCUCUCUCUCUCUCUCUCUCUCUCUCUCUCUCUCUCUCUCUCUCUCUCUCUCUCUCUCUCUCUCUCUCUCUCUCACCUGAAAUGUGUUAAUUGGAAAAUUUUACUUGUGUUUUUUUUUAAUUACAGAGAGAGACGAGGAGGAAGAAGAAGAGGAAGAAGAGGAGGAAGAAGACUAAGCUGCCCUGAGGAGGAAGAAGAGGAGGAGGAAGUAAAGGAGGUGGAGUAAAUGAAUAAAGGAGGUUAAAGAAGAAGAAGAACAACAACAACAACAACAACAACAACAAUGACUGAUUAUCUUGAUAUGUGGCAGGACAUUGAGACAGUGCUGCUGGGGGAGUUGCGCCCCCCGCUGGCCGACCCCGCCUGUUCACCGCCCCCGCCGCCGCCGCCGCCGCCGCCGCCACCUCCCGCCCCGCCCCACCCCGCACACACGCAUGCAC